AUUCUAAUAGUUUAUAAAAAAUAUAACAUUGAAAAUGUUAAGAAAAAAAAAUUUUUAGAAUA
rnacentral:tRNA from 1 species